rnacentral:rRNA from 1 species
AGAGUUUGAUCAUGGCUCAGAUUGAACGCUGGCGGCAGGCCUAACACAUGCAAGUCGAACGGUAACAGAAAGCAGCUUGCUGCUUUGCUGACGAGUGGCGGACGGGUGAGUAAUGUCUGGGAAACUGCCUGAUGGAGGGGGAUAACUACUGGAAACGGUAGCUAAUACCGCAUAAUGUCGCAAGACCAAAGAGGGGGACCUUCGGGCCUCUUGCCAUCGGAUGUGCCCAGAUGGGAUUAGCUUGUUGGUGGGGUAACGGCUCACCAAGGCGACGAUCCCUAGCUGGUCUGAGAGGAUGACCAGCCACACUGGAACUGAGACACGGUCCAGACUCCUACGGGAGGCAGCAGUGGGGAAUAUUGCACAAUGGGCGCAAGCCUGAUGCAGCCAUGCCGCGUGUAUGAAGAAGGCCUUCGGGUUGUAAAGUACUUUCAGCGGGGAGGAAGGGAGUAAAGUUAAUACCUUUGCUCAUUGACGUUACCCGCAGAAGAAGCACCGGCUAACUCCGUGCCAGCAGCCGCGGUAAUACGGAGGGUGCAAGCGUUAAUCGGAAUUACUGGGCGUAAAGCGCACGCAGGCGGUUUGUUAAGUCAGAUGUGAAAUCCCCGGGCUCAACCUGGGAACUGCAUCUGAUACUGGCAAGCUUGAGUCUCGUAGAGGGGGGUAGAAUUCCAGGUGUAGCGGUGAAAUGCGUAGAGAUCUGGAGGAAUACCGGUGGCGAAGGCGGCCCCCUGGACGAAGACUGACGCUCAGGUGCGAAAGCGUGGGGAGCAAACAGGAUUAGAUACCCUGGUAGUCCACGCCGUAAACGAUGUCGACUUGGAGGUUGUGCCCUUGAGGCGUGGCUUCCGGAGCUAACGCGUUAAGUCGACCGCCUGGGGAGUACGGCCGCAAGGUUAAAACUCAAAUGAAUUGACGGGGGCCCGCACAAGCGGUGGAGCAUGUGGUUUAAUUCGAUGCAACGCGAAGAACCUUACCUGGUCUUGACAUCCACGGAAGUUUUCAGAGAUGAGAAUGUGCCUUCGGGAACCGUGAGACAGGUGCUGCAUGGCUGUCGUCAGCUCGUGUUGUGAAAUGUUGGGUUAAGUCCCGCAACGAGCGCAACCCUUAUCCUUUGUUGCCAGCGGUCCGGCCGGGAACUCAAAGAAGACUGCCAGUGAUAAACUGGAGGAAGGUGGGGAUGACGUCAAGUCAUCAUGGCCCUUACGACCAGGGCUACACACGUGCUACAAUGGCGCAUACAAAGAGAAGCGACCUCGCGAGAGCAAGCGGACCUCAUAAAGUGCGUCGUAGUCCGGAUUGGAGUCUGCAACUCGACUCCAUGAAGUCGGAAUCGCUAGUAAUCGUGGAUCAGAAUGCCACGGUGAAUACGUUCCCGGGCCUUGUACACACCGCCCGUCACACCAUGGGAGUGGGUUGCAAAAGAAGUAGGUAGCUUAACCUUCGGGAGGGCGCUUACCACUUUGUGAUUCAUGACUGGGGUGAAGUCGUAACAAGGUAACCGUAGGGGAACCUGCGGUUG